rnacentral:rRNA from 1 species
GAUGAACGCUGGCGGCGUGCCUAAUACAUGCAAGUCGAGCGAAGCGGGGACGGGUGAGUAACAUGUGGAUAACCUCCUAUAAGACUGGGAUAACUUCGGGAAACCGGAGCUAAACCGGAAACUUAUAGAUGAAUCGACGCUGUAUUAGCUAGUUGGAAGGGUAACGGCUUACCAAGGCAACGAUGCAUAGCCGACCUGAGAGGGUGAUCAGCCACACUGGAACUGAGACACGGUCCAGACUCCUACGGGAGGCAGCAGUAGGGAAUAUUGCGCAAUGGGCGAAAGCCUGACGGAGCAACGCCGCGUGUGUGAAGAAGGUCUUCGGAUCGUAAAGCUCUGUUAUUAGGGAGGCGGUACCUGAUCAGAAAGCCACGGCUAACUACGUGCCAGCCGCCGCGGUAAUAC